GUCUGGAGCCUGCUUCUGGUUCUCUGUCUCCCCCUCUCUGCCCCUCCCCCGCUUGUGCUCUGUCUCUGUCUCUCAAUAAUAAAUAAAUGUUAAAAAAAAAUUAGAUUUAUUCCUGGAUACUUCACUCCUUGAUGCUGUUAGGCCCCUCACUUGCAAAUUGUUUGUUGCUAGGAAUACAGUUUUUAAAAGCCGAUUUUGUGUUCGGCUGCCUUGCUCAGUUUCAUUAUUCUCCGUGAUUUAUCUGUAGAUCGGUUUGGAUUUCUGAUGUAGACGAUCAUGUGGUCUGUAAACGAUGCCCACUUUCUUCUCAAUCCUAGCGUGUUCUUCCUGGCCUUUGUUCCGUUCUUUAUCUCUCUCCGCUCGUCCUGUGAGCUCCUCUACUCCAAGGCAGAACCCGCGAGCGCUGUGUCCCCUUGUCUGUUCCCGGUGUGCACGAAAGUUUUCCCGUCUCUACAACUGAGUGAGGUCCUCCAGAAGCAGGAGAGACGGGAGAGCGCUGGGUUUCAGGGGGAUGCAUUGAAGAUCCUCUUACUAACAGAGAAGGUAUUAGGUGGCCCAGCCAGCCACAACAGCUCCGUUUUACUUCAUUCCUACUGAAUGUGUCAUCAGGUGGUAGGGAAAGACCUGUAAACACGUUAUUACUGCAAAGGGGCGUAGAAUGUGUGAGCCUGAAAAUGCUGUGUUUAAAAAUAACAGCUCACCCUCGUUGAGCACUUUAUCAGUCACGGUUCGAUCGGGAACACAGAGGUGGUUUCGCAGAGGGAAGCUUCCUGCCUGAACAGAUAAUAACGGCCUAGGAAGAGCCGCAGACAGCUAGGCAAGGCAGCCCAGAGCCCCCGCCCCCCUCUGGGCUGGAGGAACAGGUCCCUGGUGGCGUCAUCGCAGCCCGUUGGGGGCCGGAGCUGGAGGCUGGGACCGAAGGAGGGGCUCGGAGAGCUGGCCCCCGGAGGAAGCUGAAGACGACGCCGGAGAUGCUUCCAAAACCGAGGACAGAAACACUCAGGCUUCCCUCCUCCCAGCCUCCAGUGCCCGGCCGGACUGAGGUGGGAGCCAGCAGCCCCGAGCCCGGAGACAACUUGCAGGAGGAGCCUUCUGGGACCCUGAGCAGAGGGUGACAAUGGGUGUGGGGACACAGGCACCCCCGAGCACGCGUGUUGCCCACUUCGUCCUCGAGGCCCCGUGACAAAGAAGCCAGGUAGAAUAGAAGCUCAGGUAGAGUCACAGGCUAAGCCUGGCGUCACCAGACCAAGACAGUCACAGUUUUGGGUCUCCCAGUAAUCGACUCUUACCAGUCAGUCAGGAGUUGCCCGGUGGGCACUAGUUACAUGGUCUGACCGACAGAACCCUGCCGUCUCCUGAAAGAAAGUAACAGAUGCGAUGACCACCCUGCGUUUCCGUGUUGGGUGACUGCCUUGUUCCUGCCCCCUUCUGCCUGCGGGAGUCUGCGCACGGCUCCUCGGAGCCCGUCUGUCUGCUGGCUGGAUGCCACCAAUCCUGAAUUAUUGAAGAGAGGCAGAAGGAUCUUUAAAAUGUGGCUUCUCCCCUUGUGUUAUUUCCAGAAGCUUUGAAAGCCCAGGAAGAGAAAGCACUCUUUCAACGUGACAAUUAAUACCAACUCCCCGGACACCAAACCGACAUCUUAUUUUUCCUUUUUCUCCACGAGCACCGUUUGCUGGGUCCAGAAACAACCACCAAAGUAAAGCCCCAGAUUUUCCGGGUGAGAGGCUCCGAACCGUCAUGGGGAAGCGUAUUCUUUCCCACCGGUCGUUGCAAGCGCGAAACAGGCCCUUCCUGUGCCGGGAGCUGGACUGGGCAGGUGGCUCGUGGCUCUGGUGCAGCUCAGCUGUGUUAUUCCCGACGCUUCGGUCACCUUCACUUCCCAACUGUAUGGAUUCACUGUUUAAAAAUAUGAGACUAUGGGGGCGCCUGGGUGGCUCAAUCGAUUAAGUGUCCGACUCGAUUUCAGCUCAGGACGUGAUCUCACAGUUAGGGAGUUCGAGCCCCACGUCAGGCUCUGCGCUGACAUCGCGGAGC